GUUCAAAAACAAUUUCCUUUCUUUCUACUCUCUCAGUAGAUAUCGCCUGUCUCAUUCAAAAUUUCCUUUUUAUAUAUUAUUAAUAAUAAUAAUAGAGCCAUGCCCCGUUUUAAGUGUUAUAACUCCCGAUCACCGCUACCCUUUCCGAUUGAUCUGAGCCCCAUAACUCCCGAUCACCGCUACCGCGAAAACCAAUGUUUUUCUAUCAUUUUCCAAAGGCAUUAAUUUCUAUGUUUUUAUUAGAGGUUCUAUCAUUUUCCAAAGGCAUUAAUUUCUAUGUUUUUCUUAGAGGUUCCAUCAUUUUUCAAAGGCAUUAGUUUCUAUUUGUAUACUCUCUUAAAAGAACUUUGAUCUUGUUUAGUUCACAACAUAGAAUCAACUCGAAGUAGAAUUAAUAUGAAUUUACACUAGAAAUGUUUGUUUGGCUGUUGUGAUGAAACUGGAAUUCUUUUCCUUCGUUAAUGGAUUUUAGCAUUCCAUUAUCGUAGUGAAGGAAUUCCAGUAGUUCACCAAAACAUUUUCGAGGCAUAUAUUCACUAAUUCUCUAAAUCAAACUCAUAAACAUAUAAUAUGUUCAUCUAAUUAAGACAUAUAACAUUCAAGGGAUUCAACAAUUUAUCUCCUAAGAAAUUGGAGGUUGGCGGUGACUAAGAAGAAGAAGAAGGGUCAUGACUAGAGACAUGGAUGUGGUGGUCGGUUGGGUGGCACAGCUACAGUCGUGGGCAGGUUUGGAUUGGCGGAGGCUGUGAUGGUGAUCUGUUGUGAGCAAAGAAAAGUGCCAGGAAGCACUACCAGCUUAGAAAAGUGGCUCAUUGUAAAUAAAUAAAAGAAACAUAUUUUGAAAAUAAAGAUUUCCCGGAGAAAUCACAUUAUUGUAAAUUAUGGGAUUUUAUUCCCCAUUUAUAAAACGGGCAGUUUGAAUUAUUAAAAGAUCCUGUUUUAAAAAAGACUUCCGCUGUCGCCUAAAAUUUAAAUACCGCAGGAUUUCUGUCCCACGGCUCCUGAAACGGGUCAAACCGGGUCGGGGGCCGUGACAGAAAAUGGUGGUAUCAGAGCCACUUCUCAAGCCACUGAUUUAAGCCAAUUAAGUAUUUAAAAAAUACUUAAUUUCCAUUAAUUGCUAUUUUGUGAUUAUUUGUUUAUUUAUCUGACUAAUUGUGUACAGUAUGAGCAGAUCUUUAUAUGCUAGUCAAUGUAGUAAGUAAUGCAAAUUCUUAAAUAAUUU
rnacentral:lncRNA from 1 species